UGAAGAGCGGCACGGCGAGCACAUUCAGCCCCGAGGCAGGGCGGCGCAUUAUCUCUGUUCGCACGUCACGAGCGCCUGACGAACUCAUUCCUGUGGUCCCAAGGAGGAUAGGCUGUGAUGGGCUGGGAAGGGAGGUCCGCUGGGAAGGAAAAGCCACAGCAAAGGGCAGAGCGAGAAGGGGCAAACACAUGGGGGCAGGAUGGGAGCGAGGGGCCGGGACGAGAGAAGGCCUCGGAGCCUGGGGGGCAGAGCCGCUGCGGGGCAGAGGGGGGGCUGUGCCCGCUUCAGGAUCCAGACGACAAAGGAAGAAACAGCAGCGUGAGCUGGGGAGCACGGCUCGGCUUUGGGGACGAGCCCAUAUCCAGUGGGGCUCCUUAGCACUGACACCGGCCCUGCAUCACCGAAACCCCUGCAGGCUGUUUCACCUGGGGGCACGGGGGCUUUGUGGGAAGACGGCCGGCCAGUUGGACAGGAGAGGAAAGCAACCCCCUACCAUCCCAGUUCAUCCAGACUGGAGUCAGGGUCUAAGCAAGUCUGGGGGAAUAAAAACCCAGUGCAGAGGCCGGAGGGAGCUUGUUACUUUGACUGAAGAAAACCCCAAGCGAAGGAUCUCAGCCGCCCGGCUAGGACGUGGACUGCAGCGUCGUCGCUGCAACGGCAGCGAGGAGAGAUCUGUGGGAUGCUGCGGCAGAUAGCCGCAUCUCAGCGUUUCCAUGAUAUCAGCCCUGCAUGCUGGGUUUAUAACUUGGCUGUGAAAACACCCUCUGGGUGGAAACUUGGCAGCCAGCCCCUGGUCAGGGAGCAAUGUCAUGUUCACAAUGCGGCGAUUAAAACAAAUACAGAAACAGUUUUUGAAAAAGUUCGGGUGUUCCUGGUCGUUCCCAGCACCGUGAGGUCUGAAUGGGACCUCUUUUCUGCUUGGCCUGACUGUAAAGAGCCAGCCAGGCCUUUCCCAAAUGGAGCCAUUACUCAUUACUGCCCAGCAGAGUGGGGGCCACAUCCAUUUCCGGGGAAGUCGGGUGGAGUCUUUCUGUCGACAUCCAUGAGCUUUGCAGCAGACCCUCCACGGAUCGCAGCGCCCACGCUGACCCUCUCAUUCAGCUUGUGGCUGGGCAGCUAUAAGCCCUGUGGCCUUGCCUGUCAUCAAACAAGUAGUUGACGGCAUGCCAAAAAUAGUCCUAGUUAGGAAUGAGCCAUCCCCAGCUCAUGUCCGGCAGUGUCGGAGAUCCCACGGUUUAUGAGUCCGCGUGCAAUUGUGGCGCGGAAGUUUCUUGCGUGCAGAUGUGCAGCCACCCUGGGUAAAUGCUGCCUUGUGCAUGGCGAUUGCUGUCAUGGGAUGCACCAAAAGCGUGACAAACUUUUAUGGAUUGGGACCAGAGUGCGUGCCUGCGGAAAGUUGGAGAUUGCUGGGACAGAGUGACUCAUCCGCCCUGAGCGGGAGCAAGCAAGGGGAUGAGAGUGAUCAACACGUUUGCACGAUCUUCCUUUUAUGCAAUCAUGAUCAUUGCUACAGCAACCCUCUGUGAUGUCAGACACCAAAAUAAUAGGAGCUGAUGCUCUUUCCACGCAGAAAGGAGUCACGGCGCUCUGUUUUUCCUGGCUGGAUGGCUUCAGACUUUCCCGACGAGAAAUCGGCUGUUGAGCGUUCCAGCUGUUGGACCUCUUUCUGGGGCUACGCAGCCCCUCCUGAAUGCCUGGCGCAGAUGCACAUAAUCUGUACUGUCGAAAAUAAUGCUAAUCAUAAUAAAAUGCACUUAAAAGCUGCUGCGUAAUAUUAA
rnacentral:lncRNA from 1 species